AGAGUUUGAUCCUGGCUCAGGACGAACGCUGGCGGCACGCUUAAUACAUGCAAGUCGAACGAGAGAAGAGGAGCUUGCUUUUCUGAUCUAGUGGCGGACGGGUGAGUAACACGUGAGCAAUCUGCCUUUCAGAGGGGGAUACCGAUUGGAAACGAUCGUUAAUACCGCAUAACAUAAUUGAACCGCAUGAUUUGAUUAUCAAAGAUUUAUCGCUGAAAGAUGAGCUCGCGUCUGAUUAGCUAGUUGGUAAGGUAACGGCUUACCAAGGCGACGAUCAGUAGCCGGACUGAGAGGUUGAUCGGCCACAUUGGGACUGAGACACGGCCCAGACUCCUACGGGAGGCAGCAGUGGGGAAUAUUGCACAAUGGAGGAAACUCUGAUGCAGCGAUGCCGCGUGAGGGAAGAAGGUUUUAGGAUUGUAACCCUCUGUCUUCAGGGACGAAAAAAGACGGUACCUGAGGAGGAAGCUCCGGCUAACUACGUGCCAGCAGCCGCGGUAAUACGUAGGGAGCGAGCGUUGUCCGGAAUUACUGGGUGUAAAGGGAGCGUAGGCGGGAUCGCAAGUCAGAUGUGAAAACUAUGGGCUUAACCCAUAAACUGCAUUUGAAACUGUGGUUCUUGAGUGAAGUAGAGGUAAGCGGAAUUCCUAGUGUAGCGGUGAAAUGCGUAGAUAUUAGGAGGAACAUCAGUGGCGAAGGCGGCUUACUGGGCUUUAACUGACGCUGAGGCUCGAAAGCGUGGGGAGCAAACAGGAUUAGAUACCCUGGUAGUCCACGCCGUAAACGAUGAUUACUAGGUGUGGGGGGACUGACCCCUUCCGUGCCGCAGCAAACGCAAUAAGUAAUCCACCUGGGGAGUACGACCGCAAGGUUGAAACUCAAAGGAAUUGACGGGGGCCCGCACAAGCAGUGGAGUAUGUGGAUUAAUUCGAAGCAACGCGAAGAACCUUACCAGGUCUUGACAUCGUAUGCAUAGCUCAGAGAUGAGUGAAAUCUCUUCGGAGACAUAUAGACAGGUGGUGCAUGGUUGUCGUCAGCUCGUGUCGUGAGAUGUUGGGUUAAGUCCCGCAACGAGCGCAACCCUUACUGUUAGUUGCUACGCAAGAGCACUCUAGCAGGACUGCCGUUGACAAAACGGAGGAAGGUGGGGAUGACGUCAAAUCAUCAUGCCCCUUAUGACCUGGGCCUCACACGUACUACAAUGGCUGUCAACAGAGGGAAGCAAAGCCGCGAGGUGGAGCGAACCCCUAAAAGCAGUCUUAGUUCGGAUUGUAGGCUGCAACCCGCCUACAUGAAGUCGGAAUUGCUAGUAAUCGCAGAUCAGCAUGCUGCGGUGAAUACGUUCCCGGGCCUUGUACACACCGCCCGUCACGCCAUGGGAGUCGGUAACACCCGAAGCCUGUAGUCUAACCGCAAGGAGGACGCAGUCGAAGGUGGGAUUGAUGACUGGGGUGAAGUCGUAACAAGGUA
rnacentral:rRNA from 1 species